rnacentral:rRNA from 1 species
GAUGAACGCCAGCUACAGGCUUAACACAUGCAAGUCGAGGGGCAGCAUUUCUUUAGCAAUAAAGAAGAUGGCGACCGGCGCACGGGUGAGUAACACGUAUCCAAUCUGCCUUUUACUCGGGGAUAGCCUUUCGAAAGAAAGAUUAAUACCCGAUGGUAUAUAGUUUCCGCAUGGAGAUUAUAUUAAAGAAUUUCGGUAAAAGAUGAGGAUGCGUUCCAUUAGAUUGUUGGUAGGGUAACGGCUUACCAAGUCUACGAUGGAUAGGGGUUCUGAGAGGAAGGUCCCCCACACUGGUACUGAGACACGGACCAGACUCCUACGGGAGGCAGCAGUGGGGGAUAUUGCACAAUGGGGGAAACCCUGAUGCAGCGACGCCGCGUGAGGGAAGAAGGUUUUCGGAUUGUAAACCUCUGUCUUUGGGGAAGAGUAGAAGACGGUACCCAAGGAGGAAGCCACGGCUAACUACGUGCCAGCAGCCGCAGUAACAC